UUCAGUUCAGGAUAUGCGGUACUGUCUGCAUGGAGUUUGUUCAUUCUCCCUGUCUUUCUAGGGAUUUCUUUCAGGCUCUCUGGCUUCCUUCCAUAUUCCAAAGAUAUAUUAGCUUUUGGGAUAUUUGGCCCUAAAAUGUGAGUGUGUGCUCUGCAGUGGACGGGGCAGGUCCAGGGUGUAUGCCCCAGCCCCUGGCUUGUGCCGUUGCUCCUCUGCAAUCCUGAAACGGGAGAGGUUAGAAUUGUUGGAUGAAUCGAAUAGCGUCCGAACGUCCUAAUCCUUAAACUCUCAAAACCAGAAAAAGCCGAUCAUAUCAAAGCAGAUACUUAACGAAUUCACACAUAGCUCAAAUUACAGAAACAAUAACAAACCCGCCCUCUUUCAUCAACUUCCAUUUUCGAUUAGAAUUAAACGCGAAAUGACAUCCAAGGGUUAACUGCUGUGAGGUUACACUGACCAGCCGGAGCUGCAGAUAGCUUCAAAAUCUUUUGAAAAGCUACAGCUGACUUGAGGUGUUUGCGACAUGAAGUCAUUAAUCAUCCUUGUACUGGUUCUUCAGGGUGUUAAAGGUCUGAUGCACCUCCACUGGUAUUAGAGUGCUUGUUUCAGGUUCUGGCCUCAACUGGCGAGAAUUUAUGGUGGCUUUUUCUGCAGCCAGUGCUUUUUCCUCAGCCAUUUUAAAAGUUAGUGUUGGUUCUGCCAGUAGGUGGCGCUGCAGCGCUUCAUCAUGGAUGCCACACACUAACGUGUUUUGCAGCAUGUCCUCCAGCUGGUCUCUUAACUCACAAUGCACUGACAAUUUCCUCAGUGCCACUAUGUAGCUUGCUGUGGCUUGGUCUGGCUGCUGUGUACGAUGAUGGAAAUAAAA